rnacentral:misc_RNA from 1 species
AACGCACCUUGCGCUCCUUGGUAUUCCGAGGAGCAUGCCUGUUUGAGUGUCAUUAAAAUCUCAACCUCUAUUAACUUUGUGGUUAGUAAGUGGAUUGGAAGUGGGGGCGUGUUGGUUUCUUUUUUGAAACAAACUCCCCUGAAAUGCAUUAGCUGGUUGGUUGCCUUGUGCAAACAUGUCUAUUGGUGUGAUAAUUAUCUACGCCGUGGGCUGUUUGCCGUUUAUAGCGCUGCUUAUAAUCGUCUGUUCAUUCAGACAAUAUAUGACAUUUUGACCUCAAAUCAGGUAGGACUACCCGCUGAACUUAA